GCCUCGUUUGCUUAGUGGUAAAAGUACUAUCCUGAAGAGAUAGUGAUGGGAGUUCGAUUCUCUCACGGGGCA
rnacentral:tRNA from 1 species